ACUUUUUGAUUACGAAUGAAAAUUCACUCUUCGUUCGUUUUCGGAACACGCGCUUGAUACGUCGUGAGUUUUUAAUCAUUGUUUUUAUGUGUGCUGUGAAAAAAGUGAAAAUUUUCCGAAAUAAUUAAGAUAAAAAGUAUAAUUGAAAUCAAUAAAUUGUUAAGCUAAAUUUAUUUAGCAAAGCUUAAAAACACAGAUUAAAUAAAUAAAACAAUGGUGGGUUCACGAGUGUAUGUUGGAGGUUUACCAUAUGGUGUAAGAGAACGAGAUUUAGAGCGUUUCUUUAAAGGCUAUGGACGAACACGCGACAUUUUAAUUAAAAAUGGCUACGGUUUUGUGGAAUUUGAAGAUUACCGUGAUGCAGAUGACGCGGUCUAUGAAUUAAAUGGGAAAGAGCUAUUGGGCGAAAGAGUUGUGGUUGAACCUGCUCGUGGCACAGCUCGUGGUAGCCAUAGGGAUCGUUAUGACCGCUAUGAUGGUGGUCGUCGUGGUGGUGGACGUUACAAUGACAAAAAUAAAAACAACAGAUCAAACUCCCGCUAUGGUCCACCAUUGCGCACUGAAUAUCGUCUAAUUGUAGAGAAUUUGUCCAGUCGUGUUAGCUGGCAGUGCGUGUCCUAAACUAAAAUACAUACAAGUGGUGUUUCAAAAAUUAGGUGAACAAAAUACAAAUGGGUCAAAUACGAAUAUGCACUUCAGAACGGAAACUAUCCAAUAAUAAUCAGUUGUAUUGUGGGUCCUAAUCAUAUGUGCUAUCUUCCACAAAUUCUCAAUUAGAUGUGCGACUAUCGUUAUCAUGCUAAUAUAAAGAAAGGUGUUGGCAAAUGAUAAUACAAAUAAAAACCAUUAUGAUAUUGAUAAAGUUGGUCAAGUUAGUCAACAAAACCAUGUAUUCCAAUUGAUGAUUGAACAUUUUCAACACUAAUCGUCGUUCAACGUGCAAAAAAUGAUGAUCGAUUGAUGCGUACUUGCUUUAUACUAAGGAAGAACCGAAAAAAGAACUAUUUCAUUUAAAUAGAUAAUAUAGAAGACGUAUUUGUUUUGUCAGAGAUGCCAUUCAAGUUCAGGUUUCUUAACGUACAUAAAUUGUUUAAUUACCUUCAGCGCAGAAGAUGCUUACGAAUGACAUCGCAAACUGAUCGCUUUUAAAAAUGCUAUGCGUAUACGAACGAGUGUAAAGUCUCAUAACUCAAAACAUACACAACAAUCUGUAGCCACUAGCUUAUAAAAAAGACAAUUUCAUCAUUGUGAUGCGAGGCCGCGCGGAAGAGUAAAAAAAACAAUGAGAUAAAUCCAUACAUCUCUUUCGUUCUAUCUAUAGACUGCCUACCCUGUCAACCGACAACUUACAUCGAAAUAUGGUGGUCAUCCAAAAAUGUUGAAGUUGUUUUAUUUAUACGUUUGUGUUUGUGUUUAAGAUUGAGAAUUAAUGAAUGAUACCAUCAAUUUAGAAUUCUGAAAGUAUAUUUCGAUUUUGUCUUUUCCGAACACAAGAUUUCGGAGUACUCGAUAGAUGCAGAGGUCCGACCAAUUGUGCGAUUGUGAAAUAAACUAAAUGCGUAACAUAUAAUUACAUGUUUGGAAUAAACUAGCGAAAUAUAAAUAAAGAUCGUGCGGGAAUAUUAAUCCAAUCUGAACCGAAAAUCCAGCCUGUCGAGCCUAUGUACAACAACCGGGACAGAUACAAAAAAAGUUAAAUGAAGCCUUUCUGACUGGCAUAUAAAACAGGCAGGCAAACAAUCUUCCAAGAAGACAAUUUUUGUACAUUGAGAGGGAGCGAGAAAGGAGAGGGAAUAUUUUGGUUAAAUCUCGAUGACUGGGAUGACAUGAUUCAUUUCUUCCAACUUUUUUGGGCAUAAUCAUUCUUAGACAGUUGAUGAUGCGACGACUACGUAGUGAAGCGAGGAAAGCUUAAGCUCUACGUCCUAGUUGAGCAGAUGCUUUCAAGAUGUUUGACCACGCGAAUAGACCGGCUUAAUACUCUUACAUAAACUUGUCUCCUUUUUAACUUUGAGACAUGUCACAAUUUCUCUCUUUUUCAGUAGUUGCAGUACGUUUUUAAAGCGAACUGAUACAUGACUCUGUCUUCCAGUGAGGUUGGCAAUCUAAACUCAUACAUACAUCCGUCCAUAGGUUCAGGCUUAUAUCAUUCCUCUGGCAAACAAUUUUGGCAGAUGUCAUUGGCUAAUAACUAAUGUCGCCUACUACUACCACCACCAGCACCACUGUGUUCCCCUUUUUCCAAAAACAAAGACUACUGGAAGUUGGCAAUAAUAUGUAUUCAGACAGUUCAGAUUUGACAUGGUCUGUGUCGGUUAAAUCGUACAUUCUCCGAUGUUUUACAUUCCUCCAGCUCUUGAUUUUUAGUAUUGGUUAUAA